rnacentral:lncRNA from 1 species
AUUCCAGUGUGAUCUGACUAAAGAUGAUCUUCUGGAUCAUGUACCGCCAGAGUCUGUGGAUGUUGUUAUGUUGAUAUUUGUGCUGUCAGCUGUUCAUCCUGAUAAGAUGCACCUUGUCUUACAAAACAUUUACAAGGUAUUAAAACCAGGCAAAAGUGUCUUGUUUCGUGACUACGGACUGUAUGAUCAUGCCAUGCUUAGGUUUAAAGCCAGCAGCAAACUUGGAGAAAACUUUUAUGUUAGACAAGAUGGGACCAGAUCAUAUUUUUUUACUGAUGGUCUCAAACAAAAGUCUGGAACCUGGGAUUCUUUGUAGGAUAUCUGGCUGUGCUUUUGUAUUAUAUGAACCACAGAAAAUAAUCUUCCAGUAUGAUAUUGUUUUCAGUAUAGUACCUCAACCCUAAUUUUGCCUGGUAACCCUUUAUCCAGAGACCUUUUGUUUUCAACUUACAGUCUUAUUCUGGGGUGGGGGAUGUACAGUCUGGCUGUGUGGACUUGCAGGAGAGAUUUAGGGUUCUAACUUCUUCUUACUGACUUCCAACCAAUUCUCCUGUAUUCAGUCUU